CCCGGGCCUUGUACACACCGCCCGUCACACCAUGGGAGUGGGUUUCACCCGAAGCCGGUGAGCUAACCCCUCGGGGAGGCAGCCGUCGAAGGGUAGGGUUGAUGAUUGGGGUG
rnacentral:rRNA from 1 species